ACGUGCGCAGGCGGUUAUAUAAGACAGAUGUGAAAUACCCCGGGCCUCAACCUGGGAACUGCAUUUGUGACUGUAUAGCUAGAGUACGGUAGAGGGGGAUGGAAUUCCGCGUGUAGCAGUGAAAUGCGUAGAUAUGCGGAGGAACACCGAUGGCGAAGGCAAUCCCCUGGACCUGUACUGACGCUCAUGCACGAAAGCGUGGGGAGCAAACAGGAUUAGAUACCCCCUGU
rnacentral:rRNA from 1 species